rnacentral:lncRNA from 1 species
AGCUUCGUUCAGGCCCGGCCGGGACUUGAUCAUCCUGGAAAUUAUAUCGCUGGCUCGUCCCACUUGGGGGAAAGCCAAUUACCUGGACUGGGAGCCAUUGGCAUCUCGUCCGGCCUCCCGCAGCCAGACAGGAACCCUGAGCUUCUGCUUCCAGCCUGGCCUGGCCUGUCCUAGAGAGUCCGCCUGGGUGAGGGGAGAGCCAGCCUGCGAGGGGCCCCUCCCACCUGGCCUUUCCUGUGGGGCUGCAGUGGAACCUUCUCAUUUGCCUGAAAUGGAAAAAAGUCAAGCCCCGCAGCAGAAAAUGUCCGGGUUGCUGGAGGCGAAGGCUUCUGAAACACCGAACCAGCAAAAAGUGCCCGAGAGCCUCGGAGGGCCCGGGGGGCAAGGCCAGCGAGCCUGGUUUACAGAGAAGGAAAAAGAGGUUCCAAAGGGUGCCCCGAAGCCGGGAGGUCUGGGCUCAUCUCUGCCCCAGCGCGUCCCACAGCCUGGCCCCAGUUCUCAUCCCAAGGUCCCGCGUCCUGGACGGGGGCUCCCUGGGCCCUGAGCUCGGGGUGGGGGAGCCCAGCUCCUGGAUUUCUGCACGGUGGGCUGGG